rnacentral:tRNA from 1 species
GGGCGUUUAGCUCAGUUGGGAGAGCGUCUGCCUUACAAGCAGAUGGUCGGGGGUUCAAGUCCCUCAACGCCCACCA